UACGUAGGGGGCAAGCGUUGUCCGGCAUUAUUGGGCGUAAAGAGCGCGUAGGCGGUCCGAUAAGUCGGCUGUGAAAGUCCAGGGCUCAACCCUGGAAAGCCGGCCGAUACUGUCGGACUAGAGUCCGGAAGAGGCAAGUGGAAUUCCCGGUGUGGCGGUGAAAUGCGCAGAUAUCGGGAGGAACACCAAUUGCGAAGGCAGCUUGCUGGGACGGUACUGACGCUGAGGCGCGAAAGCGUGGGGAGCAAACAGG
rnacentral:rRNA from 1 species